rnacentral:tRNA from 1 species
GCAUUGGUGGUUCAGUGGUAGAAUUCUCGCCUGCCACGCGGGAGGCCCAUGUUCGAUUCCCCGCCAAUGCA